rnacentral:rRNA from 1 species
AGAGGCGAAAUUGUAGCUUCCGAAUCUCGCUUAAUUGAAUCUCCUGCUCCAAGUAGAAUUUCCAGGCGUUCCGUAUACGAACCUCUUCAAACAGGGCUUAUUGCUAUCGAUUCGAUGAUCCCUAUAGGGCGCGGUCAGCGAGAGUUCAUUAUUGGGGACAGACAGACUGGCAAAACAGCCCGCUCGUGUUCCGUUUUCCUUGUGGUUCCCGUAGUCGAAGCAGCUUAA